GAUGAAGAACGUAGCGAAAUGCGAUAAGUAAUGUGAAUUGCAGAAUUCAGUGAAUCAUCGAAUCUUUGAACGCACAUCGCGCCCCCUGGUAUUCCGGGGGGCAUGCCUGUUCGAGCGUCAUUUCACCACUCAAGCCUCGCUUGGUAUUGGGCAACGCGGUCCGCCGCGUGCCUCAAAUCGACCGGCUGGGUCUUCUGUCCCCUAAGCGUUGUGGAAACUAUUCGCUAAAGGGUGUUCGGGAGGCUACGCCGUAAAACAACCCCAUUUCUAAGGUUGACCUCGGAUCAGGUAGGGAUACCCGCUGAACUUAAGCAUAUCAAUAAGCGGAGGA
rnacentral:misc_RNA from 1 species